GAGAUGAUGUUGAGCUUUUGGCAAGAGUGAGCAAGCACCAGAAGGCCAGGCGAGGAGACGGGAGGAAGGGAUGCACAGAGCUCAGAGACAAGCUAGUUUGUGGUUUCCCCUUGACAUUCAUUCAUCAAAUGCCACAAGCAUUAGGUGCCUUGGCUUGCCAGAAUCAUGGGGCAUUCUGGCUUGGGGUGCUACUGACUGUCCCAGCUAAGAGUGCUAUAUAUCUAGUGCCCUAGGUUCUGGGGUAAGUCAUUUAAAGUCUCUGAGCCCUGACGACAUCAGCUCAUAGCCAUAACAUCCAAUGUUUCAAAAGGUUGUUCUGAGGGGUGCAGGAGUUGUUGUGUAGAUUUCUUGGCACAGUCCUUGCUAGUAUUACUAUAACUUAAAGACAGCAUUCUUUCAGCCCUGCAUGGUUAGAGCAGGCACUGGGGUCCUGUCUCCUAAUCCAGCAUCUUUAUAUCUCAUGAUUGAGGAAACUAAGGCUGGAGCAGGAACAGGUCCCUGGCCAAGGCAUUGCUUUGCUGGGUUUACAGAGCAGGCAUGCUCAUUGACUUCCUGAGCGCUCCCUUGGGGAAAGUGGUAUGUGCAGAGCAAGCACAACCCACACAACAGCAGCACAGCCUGAGUGACUCCUAGAUACACAGCUGAGGGUGUACAUAAGAAACAGUACACCACAGACCUGCAGUGUGCUGCUGAGAAUCCUACCUCUCUCUCCUCUCCCUGCUGCUGAGUUACAGCCUGGCCCAGGAGAGAAUUGCUUCACUCCAGAACAUUCUCUUAGUGCAGCGAGUCUGAGGCGAUCAGAGGGAUACAGUGUAUUUGAAAGACUUUCCAUUGCUCCAUAGUGCUAGCAUACUCUGGAUUUCACUGGACCCUCACAGAACUUUUAAAAAUUACAUUGUGUGUGUGUGUGUGCAUGCACGCGUGUGCGCAUAUGGCAUGUUGUUCUCUCUUUCCACCAUAUGGGUCCUGAGGUUAAACUUGGGCUGUCAGGCUUGGCUGCAAGUGUGUUGGCAGACCGUCCCCGCCCCCUUAUUUUUUGUCCAACACACCGCAGCAGAUACUGAUGUCAGUCCUCUUAGCAAAGGCCACUGAGGAACAAACAUCAAGGAAACAAGAUAUUCAACUAGAGUUCCAACCUGGGCACCUAGGCUUUGUGUGUUCUCCUUGUUUUAAUACUGUCCCAUGUAUUUGAGACUCCCCAGCAUUGCAGGAUUCGUUGCAACGCUCCUGGCCCCUGCUCCUUUGAUGCUAGAAGUCUCCACAGCUGUGGGAGCCAAAAAUGUCUGCAGACAGUGGCAAAUACAACAUGAAGGGCAAAGUAGACCCUGGGUGAGAAUUGCCACUCUCGGGCUGACUUGACAAAAAGCACUGAGUUGUUUUGAAAGUGCAGCAGCUUCUAAUCAGGUAAGUACUGUUACGGCAGAUCUCUCUCCAAAAUGAAUGGACACUGAGAUUCAAAUCAACCUUCAACCUUAACUGCUCUCCCCAGUACCCAGGCACUUUAUGCACCAUCAUGAGAGUGCACUGAUCAGAAGAGCAUCCAAGUUUCCCGCCUGCAAUAACAAAGCUGGUCCGUGGGAGACUGGGAACUGGGAUGCUGGUCUUGAAUUCCAUAUUUCUGACUCUAAAGCGGCAGAUCAUUAUUCUCUCUAGCCUAAGAUACACAUUCCCCUUUCUUUGAUUUAAUGUCUUGGACUCGAGCUGCAACUUAAAACCAGUGCACGUGUGGUAGAAAUGCUUUUUAGUUCCCUUGAACACUAUUAUUCAAUCAAACAUACGUCUCAUCGGUUUCUUGGAAUCCAGGGUCGGGCCAUGAGCCAUGAGGACUGAAGGCACGAAUGGAGGGAGAUCCAGAGGAAGAACCCAGUGAUCGCUUCCCCUGCUCUAAGCUCUGUUGCUCCUCCAUCUUGCUAACGCUUCAUCCGGCAUCCUGACCUGCUUCUGACAUCCAAGACUUCCAGGUAAUGUGAACCUCUCACCCUUUCUAAUUCCUUCUAGAAGUUUCUGUCAGUGUUUCAAGUAAGAACUAGUGUGUUAUGAGGGCUUGGGCAUUUUCUCCUUCAUCAUAGGUGAGAUGCACACUCCUGCUUUACAGGUAAUAUCCAGAGAGGGGCUAAGCAGUCAGGUUAGCCGCAUGCCAAGAUGAUUCACCCAAGGUUCCAGUUUCUGUUUUGGCUGAACUCUACAUGCUCAACAAAAGCUCAUGCAUUAAAGGCUUGACUCCAGUAAAAUAAUACAAAAACUUGACUCCUAGUGGAUCAAUUCAUGACUAGAUCAUAGUUUACCAGGCUACUGGGAUUUGGCAAAAAUGUUAAUAGCUUAGAAGUCGGUCACUAGGACAUGCUCUGAAGGGAAUAUCCUGUACACAGCCCCUUGCACCCUCCCUGAUUCAGGUCCCCUCAAGGAGAGCAGCUUUGCUCUGCAGUCUCUGUGUGCGAUGUCUUCCUUGACAUAGGCUCAGGAAUGAGAGAGCCAGCCAGACACAGGCUGAAACCUUUGGAACUCAGAACCAAGAUGAUUGGACUUCCUUUUUUUUCCCUCAGGUAAAACCCUAAGGCAGCUCACAGUGAGGCUUCAUCUAACCAGCUGCUUCCUCUUGAUGCUGUCUGACCCUCACCCUCUCGCUCCGGCUCCCAGACCUGCCUCUGCUCUCAGCAGGAAGGGGCAGCAGCUUCUUCCUCACCAAGAAUGAGGAGCCUCACCUCUCCUCCCACAGAUGACACAGGCAUUGUGGGCUUGCUCUUCCAGCAUGCCCUACCAGUUCUUUAAGUCUUCACAGCUAAGCUUAGAAUCCCUCCAACCAGCCCAGUGGCAUGCCAAGGACCCUGGUGAGAAAGCCACUGGAACAGAGGAAAGGAGAUAUGUGCGAAGGCCCAGUGACGCUGCACUCAGCCAGUCUCUCAAGGAUGGCAGCUCUAGCUGAGAAGCUAUCGUGAGGACUGAGGAGACAUAAAGUCUGUGGUGCAGUUUCAAGACCUGUGGUAGGACUGAGCCUGGCCGCAUGGUAGUGCAGAUGGUGGCCUCUGGCUCUGCACAGACUUGGGCCUUAGGCAAGUGAUCUCUUUGAAAUUUGGUUGACUUGUAGGAAUAAUGUCAUCAGUAUGUGGACCUUAAAUGAGAUGAUGUACCCACAUCAUCUCACACUGCCUGGCAUAGAGGGGGCAUGUGAGAAACAUUCUGUCCCUCCUAAAUGUGGGUAUCAAGUGUAUGAAGGACAAAAGUUGAUCUAACUGCCCUCGGAUGUGGCUCGGUGGGAGGACUCUUGACCAGCAGACUGCCAGGUUUCUAUUAUUUAAACACAUGGACAAUAAGUCCCAUGCUAUGCAGAGAAAAUUUAGCCUUAAGUGAGCCCACAAUUUGCUAGAGGUUUUAAAUCACCAGCUGCUGCCUUUGAGUUUAAUCAUCUCGUCCUGGAAACCCCAAAGCAGGAAAAGAAGCUGUCACCCUGAGGGAAAUGCCACUCUGUGGCAGCAGAUCACUUAGAAGGACAUAGCUUUCACUCAAUGUUUCAGGUCUGCUACCAUUCUCUGAUGAAAGUUGGGGGCUCAGACAGAAGCCGGUUCUGAAGAGGGCAAAGAAAACUAUAUGGGCUAUGGUUUGAGAAGAGGAGAAAAGCCCAAGGCAGGGAUUCCUUGCCUAGGAAAGGAAGAGUGCAGCAUUUGAUGAUGGUGGAAGAAAGCUGCACCCACUUUCAUGAAAUAAAUGGACCUGGACCCACAGCCCCUAUGGUAGUGGCUUGGCAGCUGAACAAAGGCGGCAGCAUUCCUACAUCCAGUUUGUAAAGCCUCAGAAGUUGCAGGCUCCAACUGUUUUUUUUUUUUUUUUUUUUUUCGUUUUUCAAGGAACCCAUGUCAACUAUAAUGAGCGCAUUUUCAAUGUUGUGCUGAAAGCUGGCAAUGGAUGAAGCAAGAACAUAAAAGAAGCCUAUGUCCAAGGCAAAUAUUUCCUUUACAAACCUUAAGAAUGAAGUGGCCUUCAUAAUCAAUUUUAAGAUCAAAUGCCUGGGCUGAAGUACCUGGUUCUGGCACUCAUUAGCUAUAAUUUGGGACAAUUAAUUUAUCUCUGAACAGUUGCUUUCUCAACUGAAAAAUGGGGCUAAUACCUGCCCAAGUUUUCCUGGGAAAUAAACGAGAUAAUGAAGGUGCUUUGUCAGCUCUUAAGUAUCAUAAAUAUUAACAAACACGACAAGGACAACUUCCCUGUUCCUGAAGAAUCACGUGCCCCCCACUCUGAAGAAAUGAAAACAAACCAAAUCCAGCUAAACUACUGCAGAGGAAUGGUCUCCAGGAGGCCUCUUCCAACUCAUACUACUACUGACCUCAUGGAGCCUACGAUGCAACAGAAAUGACACGCAAGUUUGGAUGACGGAUCUACUCCCCUCUGUUUUAUAGGGCCACCACCCUGCAGUAAGAUUCAGCUGUGUAACUUUCCUCCCAGAAGUGAGAGUAAAUGUCAAGAGCAAAAAUUCCUGCAAUUAAAUGUUAAUUCCUGAAUAUAUUUCUUAUGACAUUUUGCAAGCUGUCUAGAUACAUUUUUUGUUCAAACUCCACGAGGUUUUCAUGGAUACUUUCUGUUCCCUUUGCUUUAAUAAAUCUAACCGACUGAAGU
rnacentral:lncRNA from 1 species